UUUUUCAAUAUUCUGCAUUUUCUACGCUUUGAUCCUGAUUUCCAAAAUAUGCUCACACGAUCUCCACGUUCAUUGUAAAACCAUCUCACGAUUUCAAAGUAAAACUGUUUCAUCUUCUAUUUAACUCACUAAAUAUUUUCUUACACUUUUUUAUAUGUAAAUUCUGUUCCUUCGUAUCUCACCUUAUCCCUCUGUUUUGUGAAUUGCAUGGUAAUUAAAGAUACCAGAUUCUAGACAAAUUAGGAGAAGCUAUUUUCCUCGCUAACUUCUCCUAGAUGAGUUCUGUUUCGCUCAAACACAAGUUAUUUAUUAGCUGACCAUUUGUUAACGUUAUUAGCAAAUGCGGACUUUAUCAAACGUUUAUAUAUUUUCAUUACCUAAUCUUUGUUUUCUGUGGCAAUUUGCUAAACUUUUUUUAAUUUUUUUUUUUUUUUGUAGAUUGGACGCAUACGACUUUUAAAUUGGUGUGCAAAUCAACAGACAAGCUAUUUUUCAGAUUGUUGGAAACCAUCAAACAAACAACACAAAGCUAUAAGAAACUCGACCUCUCUAUAAACUAAUGUUUCAGUUAUUGCUGAAGCAUCAAAAGAGGUAAAUAAUUACACCAUACAGAUAACCAAAAUGAUUUUACCGUACGUAGUACGGGAUGAAUACUAGUCUAGUAUAAAGGUUAAGUUUGCGUUUAAAAA